AUUGAACGCUGGCGGCAGGCUUAACACAUGCAAGUCGAACGGUGACAUAAAGGAGCUUGCUUCUUUGAUGACGAGUGGCGGACGGGUGAGUAAUGCUUGGGAAUCUAGCUUAUGGAGGGGGAUAACUACGGGAAACUGUAGCUAAUACCGCGUAGAAUCGGGAGAUGAAAGUGUGGGACCUUCGGGCCACAUGCCAUAGGAUGAGCCCAAGUGGGAUUAGGUAGUUGGUGAGGUAAAGGCUCACCAAGCCGACGAUCUCUAGCUGGUCUGAGAGGAUGACCAGCCACACUGGGACUGAGACACGGCCCAGACUCCUACGGGAGGCAGCAGUGGGGAAUAUUGCGCGAUGGGGGCAACCCUGACGCAGCCAUGCCGCGUGAAUGAAGAAGGCCUUCGGGUUGUAAAGUUCUUUCGGUAGCGAGGAAGGCAUUUAGUUUAAUAGACUAGGUGAUUGACGUUAACUACAGAAGAAGCACCGGCUAACUCCGU
rnacentral:rRNA from 1 species